rnacentral:snoRNA from 1 species
CGAGGUCUACGUGUACCCCACGAGCCCUGUUAAUAGAUGGCGCGCCGGGGAAUGGAACAGACCGAG